rnacentral:lncRNA from 1 species
ACACGUCCAACGUGAAUUAACCCUAAAGGAGAUGGAUCUCAUGGUUUGGUGCAGUCUCAGCACAAAUCAGGAACAGAGGUGCUGGAGGUUUUGGGUUCCCGAUGAAUUUUGAGCCGAAGAGCAAGGAGACGAUCUCCAAUGAUGUGAAACCGCUCCCAAAUCCACCGCCUCUCUUCCCUCUCCAAGUCCCUAAUCUCCAGUCUGGAAGCGCGAGAUAGUCGGCCACACUCUCAGAAAGCCCUCGGUCAACAUAGCUCAGCAGGAAUGGUUCGAUAUGCUGCCGCCGCGGACCUACGACGAGGAGUACUUGCUCAACAAGCACUCCAGGCUCGGCGUCCUCUCUAAUGAGCUCCAAGCCCUGGGACAUUCCGUAAGAUUUUUUUUUUUUUUUGAAUAAUGUGUUGAAUUGAAGAGGAAUUGAAUGGAGGCUAGGGCUUAAUUGUGUUGCUUUUGGUGUUGGAGACUUGGUCGUUGCAUUUCAAUUGGAUGAUGGUUAAGUAGUUUGAGUUGAUAGGAUUGCUUGGUCUUCGUAUCUGUUAAUAACUCCUAGUUAUGAGGAGCUUGUUAUUUACUAGUUAGAGUUUGAGCUAUUCUUUAGUUGAGUCGACCACAGUCUUAGGGUUGUAAAGAUGUGGUUUGUUUUGAAUUUCUUAUCCUUCUGUAAUGGCUAUAUAAGCCGUAGUUGUUUCUUGAAUUGAAUAAGAAUCAUCCAUCAAAAGCUUGAGAGUUAUUUGUUUCUAGGAUUUGGUUUUUCAACAUUUGGAUAUUAUAAUUGUGUUGCUUGCUCUGGUGGCUUCUUGUGAACCAGUUUUUUUUGUUAUGUGCUUGUGGUUCAAUUUCACGAUUUGGUUAUAGUGUUUAAUUUCUUUCUGCUUCUUCAGGUGCUUUUAUUUGCUUAG